rnacentral:rRNA from 1 species
GACGAACGCUGGCGGCGUGCUUAACACAUGCAAGUCGAACGGAAAGGCCUGUCCUUCCUUGUGUUGGACGGGUACUCGAGUGGCGAACGGGUGAGUAACACGUGAGUGAUCUGCCCCCAACUUGGGUAUAAGCCUGGGAAACUGGGUCUAAUUCCCGAUAGGACUGCAGGGUGGUGCCUGUGGUGGAAAACGAUUUUCUAGUGGUUGGGGAUGAGCUCGCGGCCUAUCAGCUUGUUGGUGGGGUAAUGGCCUACCAAGGCGGCGACGGGUAGCCGGCCUGAGAGGGUGGACGGCCACAUUGGGAAUGAGAUACGGACCAGACUGAUACGGGAGGCAGCAGUGGGGAAUAAUGCACAAUGGGCGGAAGCCUGAUGCAGCGACGCCGCGUGGGGGAUGACGGCCUUCGGGUUGUAAACUCCUUUCGACCGCGAGGAAGCCGCCUGGUUGGAAGGGUGGUGACGGUAGUGGUAGAAGAAGCACCGGCUAACUACGUG